rnacentral:lncRNA from 1 species
GUCAGAAGUGCGAUAAUUAUGGCUUACAGCUCAUGAAAACCCCAAAUCCACAAUCCCAGUAAAUUAGAAUAUUGUGAAAAGGUGCAAUAUUCCAGGCUCACAGUGUCCCACUCUAAUCAGCUAAGUCAGCCAUAACACCUGCAAAGGGUUUCUGAGCCUUUAAAUGGUCUCUCAGUCUGGUUCAGUAGGAAUCACAAUCAUGGGGAAAACUGCUGACCUGACAGUUGUGC